rnacentral:rRNA from 1 species
AUUGAACGCUGGCGGCAGGCCUAACACAUGCAAGUCGAGCGGAUGAAGGGAGCUUGCUCCUGGAUUCAGCGGCGGACGGGUGAGUAAUGCCUAGGAAUCUGCCUGGUAGUGGGGGAUAACGUCCGGAAACGGGCGCUAAUACCGCAUACGUCCUGAGGGAGAAAGUGGGGGAUCUUCGGACCUCACGCUAUCAGAUGAGCCUAGGUCGGAUUAGCUAGUUGGUGGGGUAAAGGCCUACCAAGGCGACGAUCCGUAACUGGUCUGAGAGGAUGAUCAGUCACACUGAAACUGAGACACGGUCCAGACUCCUACGGGAGGCAGCAGUGGGGAAUAUUGGACAAUGGGCGAAAGCCUGAUCCAGCCAUGCCGCGUGGGUGAAGAAGGUCUUCGGAUUGUAAAGCACUUUAAGUUGGGAGGAAGGGCAGUAAGUUAAUACCUUGCUGUUUUGACGUUACCAACAGAAUAAGCACCGGCUAACUUCGU